GAUGAAGAACGUAGCGAAAUGCGAUAAGUAAUGUGAAUUGCAGAAUUCAGUGAAUCAUCGAAUCUUUGAACGCACAUUGCGCCCGCCAGUAUUCUGGCGGGCAUGCCUGUCCGAGCGUCAUUUCAACCCUCAAGCCCCAGCCGGCUUGGUGUUGGGGACCGGCCCCGGCCGCCCCCCAAAUGCAGUGGCGACCUCGCCGCAGCCUCCCCUGCGUAGUAGCACAACCUCGCACCGGAGCGCGGAGACGGUCACGCCGUAAAACGCCCAACUUCUCAGAGUUGACCUCGGAUCAGGUAGGAAUACCCGCUGAACUUAAGCAUAUCAAAAGCGGAGGA
rnacentral:misc_RNA from 1 species